CCACGGCUUAUGCGAAAACAUGGGUAAGGACUGCGCAGGAUGAGUAGGCUUGGAAAGGUAUCUCUCUAGAGCAGCCUCAAAGAGAUAGGGAGCUAAUCUUUCCGGAGGGGCUUGUCACCCUACAGCACCUCCUCUCAAGAGGAGUACAUAUACGUCCUAGAAACGAACUUCCUCGCUCGCCACGCGACGGGUCUUUCCUGACUACAUUUCCCAUAGUACUUUGCCAGCCUCGCGACACUUCCCUCGAGACUGGUGGCAAAGACUUGCGAGAUCACGGAAGGCGCGUGUCCUUUUGGUUUCCGGCCUUUUGCUGGCUCCGACGGCGUGGACAUGGUUGGCGUGUCGUAGGCCACCCCAGGGAGGUAGCCUAUGCGGCGGGCCUUGGCUUUUCAUUUGCUUGGGGAAAAAUGGAGGCCACGUUGAUGCCAGAAGGGAUUGGCCUUUGAAACUGAGAAAUGGAAGAGCAGGAAACGAUGCUGUCUGCUUUUAGACCGUGAAAGAAAGCAGAUGAAAAGGUCUUCUUGGAAAUGUUAAGAUUGUUGGAUCUUCUAACUUGCACCUUCAAAGA
rnacentral:lncRNA from 1 species